UGGGGAAUAUUGCACAAUGGGCGCAAGCCUGAUGCAGCGACGCCGCGUGAGGGAUGACGGCCUUCGGGUUGUAAACCUCUUUCAGUAGGGAAGAAGCGAAAGUGACGGUACCUGCAGAAGAAGCGCCGGCUAACUACGUGCCAGCAGCCGCGGUAAUACGUAGGGCGCAAGCGUUAUCCGGAAUUAUUGGGCGUAAAGAGCUCGUAGGCGGUUUGUCGCGUCUGCCGUGAAAGUCCGGGGCUCAACUCCGGAUCUGCGGUGGGUACGGGCAGACUAGAGUGAUGUAGGGGAGACUGGAAUUCCUGGUGUAGCGGUGAAAUGCGCAGAUAUCAGGAGGAACACCGAUGGCGAAGGCAGGUCUCUGGGCAUUAACUGACGCUGAGGAGCGAAAGCACGGGGAGCGAACAGGAUUAGAUACCCUGGUAGUCCAUGCCGUAAACGUUGGGCACUAGGUGUGGGGGACAUUCCACGUUUUCCGCGCCGUAGCUAACGCAUUAAGUGCCCCGCCUGGGGAGUACGGCCGCAAGGCUAA
rnacentral:rRNA from 1 species